UUUUGUUCACAAAUUAUGUUUUUCAUUUCCUAAAGCUUUUUAAUCUUCUUUCUCCAUCACAUGUUCAUCGCAACAACUCAAAUUUGCUUACGAUAAGCGAUUAUUUGCUUUCAUUGUUUUUCUCCAGGUAAUUUUUUCAUAAUUUAAGUGAAAUUUUCUCUGUUCCUGAAACCUAAAUCUCCAAUCAGAGUGAAGACCAUUUUCGUCGAGAUUCGAAACCUAAAAAUCUACUGCUAUUGGCACCGCGUUGGAGUUCACCGACGAAGGCAGAGGGAGCGACAAGGGAAUCAUGGAGAUGUCGAGGUCGAAUGCGUCGAAGAGGAGCAAGUCGUCGAAGUUCACGACAAGGAAAAACAACUUGUCUAAGUGAGAGCGGUAGUGGCGGGACCCACUCUAAGGCAUCUAGUCAAGGUCUACCAUCACCAGCGACUCUCUGAUGAACUUCGGGUCCAUCGAAGUAACAAUAAGAAUCCAAUUCUUUUUUUCUCUUCUUUACGAGCUCAUACAUUUUCAUCUGAAAUCUGGAUACAUAGGAAUGCUUUUUCAUCGAUUUUGUUUGUUUAACUUGAUGAUUAUGUACGUAUAUAGUACUUCUUGAUUAGUGCUCGAUUAUAAAAUUGUGUAAGAAGAUGGUUUUGAGCCUUGACGAAGGAAGGAAGACAACAAAGAACUAAGAGAUUGAUUAGAAAGCUUGUAAAGUUCCAUUAUCUUAAUCAAUUAUAUUCAAAUGAGAAUUUUAAUAUCAUUAUCUUAAUCCAUUUUGCAGUCUUAAUGUAUUAUUUUCUAUAGAGAAUGUAAUAUUCAAUUAGAGUAAAUAUGGCUUUGCUUAAAUUUAAUAGUUGUUUAAUUAUAAUGUUAUAUAGUCUAUUAUACACUACCAUUCCAUCACAGAUCAUCAUUGAAUUAAUAUCUAACACAAAUAUUGUAAAAGUGAACAAAGUUGGUGCAUAUUGUGGUUUGUGAUUAGAUCGAUGACACUGUAUAACUUAUUUUUUUCUUAAUGUUUAUCAUGCAUUCACCAGUGCAGGAAGGGCUUUUGGUAGUAGUUGUUUUUUAUGUUCUGCACCGGUUCUCGAACCGAAACAUAUUGGGACAAGGCCAAAAGGUGAAGGUUUUUGGCCUCGAGUGUGACCUGAAGCCAUAGAUCCACGUUUAUGCUUCGGUUAUCCUAGAAACCGAGGCCAUAGAGUCUCUAAAUUUUUAGAGAUUCACCGUAGCGAACCUCACUACCGUUUGCCGCAAACGAACCUCACCACCAUUUCGCCACGAACUCCACUGCAACAAACCUCACCAUCGUUUGAAACCCUAAUCGUGAGAGAUCACUACGCUGCCUCCAUCUUCAACAGAAAAGCAAUCCAGAUCGCGCCUAACAGAAGAACGCGAGUCAUCUGCCACCAACAUGAAACCCCAAAGCACGAGUGAGGCGCUGGAACGAACCAGAGUUCCUCCACAGCAGCACCUUCGAACCUUCAUCGGAGCAACCGCAUCAGACCAUUGCGGCAACAACCCCUGAACUGCGUAGGACCUCAUUCUUCUCCGCCACGAACACGAACUUGCUGGAACGAACCCACCUUCCUGCACCGUUGACGUAUAGCCACAACGUCGCAACAAAGUGGCACAGAGUAGUGACAACCUUCGUCGGAGAACAGUGGUGUUUGUGGCGGACGGUGGCGCAAUGGUGCGAUGGAGUGUGGUGGAGUUCGCGUAGAGAGGGACAACAGCUUCGAGUUUGGGAUGAAGAUGAGCAGUGCUGGAUUCGCGAAUUUGGAACCCUAAAUAAGGGAUAUGGCAUCGGUUCAAUUAAUAACCGAGGCAUAAAGUGGAAUAGGCCUCGGUCCUACCCGAGGCCAAAGCCUCUGCCGUCGAUGGCAAUUUUGAAAAUUUGGAGAACUCUGACAUGUUAUAGGCCUCAGUUGAGUGAUAACCGAAGCAUAAAAGCCCUUAUAGGCUUCAGUUGGAUUGGGACCCGAGGCAAAAGAGUUCGAAAAAUUUCAAAAAUGUCACCGCGUCCUUAUAGGCUUCGGUUCCGCAAUAACCAAGGCCUAUAAGGCAAUGUAAAAACACGAUUCUGCAUUAGUGAUUAUAGUUUUAUGAUGGUUAACAUUAGUUCUUCUGCUAAAUGCAUGCCUGCUAUAUUUGAGUUUGGUGAAUAACUAUAAUGACAGGGAAGAAACAAUAUUUGAGUGGGCACAGAGUAACUAAUUUAUUUGAAUCAUGUAAAUGCCUUGAUGAGUUGAGGUUGUACUAAAGAAUUAAUAUACUUAAGUUGAAAUUUCAUAGGCUUUAGAUUGUUACCCAUCCCACAAGAGUUCUUUCUCCAAGUCUUUUAUCUAUAGGUCUCAUUCCUGUUAUUAGCUGUAGUAGAACCACCCCAAAGGAAUACACAUAUGUUUUAACUGACACUUUGCCAAAUUCUGCAUAUUUUGGUGUCAUCUCCAUCCACUAUAGUUUUAGGAUACUGGAACCAACCACCUGGGGUUAAAAAGAGAUUGAGCAUUUUAUAUAUCUCCUUUAUUUUACUUUUCUUCAUUUGGCAAAGGGAUGAUUAUGCUCUUUCUAUUUUUGUUAAUAUUUGGUAUUAAGUAAGCUUCCGUUGCCAUUGAAUCAAUUUGACAGAUUCCUUUUACAUCUACUCAUAGUUAGGAUAAUUUCUUUUGAUGGUUUGAAGGGAAUCAGUUUUUCACAUCUAGUAAAUUUUGUAUUAGCAUAUUUUAGUAUGAAAUGUUGUUCCAUGCAGGUUAACAAUGCGGGAAUUGGUGGAGUUGUAAUUAAAGACAGUGAUUUAAUCAGUAAAGUAAUCCUGAAUCGUGGGCUGGUACCAGAUGAGCAAGGAACAAAGACAGUGACUCAAACAUACGAGUUAGCUAAAGAAUGCUUGCAAAUAAAUUACUAUGGCACUAAAAUAACUGUAGAAUCGCUCAUGCCCCUCCUCCAAUUAUCUGAUUCACCAACAAUUAUGAAUGUAUCGUCCUUUCUUGGGCAGUUAGCAGAGAGUUUCCCUAAGGAAUCAUGGGCAAGAGGAGUGUUGAGUGAUGCUCAUAACCUAACAGAAGAGAAAGUGGAUGAAAUAGUGAAGAAGUUUCUAAGUGAUUUCAAAGAAGGUUCAUUAGAGAGUAAAGGGUGGCCUAGGUAUCUAGGUGCCUAUAUUGUGUCAAAAACAGCUCUUUGUUGAACAACCGGGUGGGACACAUCUGGCAUUCCUCAGUUCUUGUUUCGUAUCAUGGAUGGGUUGGGGGACAUAAGUUAUUAUGGAGGUUGCAACAUCAGGUUAGGAAGUAUGUACUUGGCUUUUCCAGCUGGUGACUGGGCAUGUAUGGAAGGGAACAACUUUUGGUGGCCUUCAAGAGUCAAUCACAAGUGCCUUGGCUUGUAGAAAAGUACAUGAAGAAGGUGGUUUGCUGUGUUUCUGCGAUGAGAAGGUUUUCUACAACUAAUCAGGGAUGUGUUGCUGAAGCUAGAAUGAUGACUCCUGAGUUUUUUCCGGAUAAAUCAGAAGUUCAAUGUCUUCACAGAUGGAAAAAAGUUCUUAAUCCUGAACUUGUUAAAGGACAUUGGACAAAGGAGGAGGAUGAUAAAAUAAUUGAACUGGUGUCUAUACAUGGAUCUACAAAAUGGUCUUUGAUAUCCCAGUCUUUGCCUGGUCGAAUAGGAAAACAAUGCAGAGAACAAUGGUGCAAUCAUCUUAGUCCAGACAUAAAGAAGGAUCCCUAGACUUUGGAGGAGGAAUUAGCUCUUAUUAAAGCUCAUUGUAUACAUGGCAACAAAUGGGCUGAAAUAGCCAAGGUUCUAUGUGGAAGGUAACCCCUCACGGGUCCAAGCAUACAUAUGCCAGUCGAGAAGAGACCUACUGAGGAGAUAGCAGACUACAUGGGUAAGGUAACACUUGUGCCUAACUUAUCUUAAUUGUUCUCUGUAGGAACAGUUGUAAAGUACACAUUAUAUACGAUAUAUAUCAAAACGAUCCUUUGUGUGAUUAUCUUUAUUUUUUAGUUAGUUUUAUAUAAGGAAAUUUUGAUUCAUGUGUGAAAGAUCUGUCCAAAUUUGAUAGCAUCAACAAUGUUAUAAAAUGAGAAUCUCAAAUGGUCAUGUGGUUGGUUAUCCUUUUAUGCAUGGACUUAUCGGAAGAAAAUAGUAACAUAGUGAAAAGAGAUUAAUAAAGUUCUAAAAAAGGAAUGCAUAGAUGACCUUAAAUGUAUCUGAUUUGUGGCGGUUUUUAACCAUCAA